rnacentral:rRNA from 1 species
GAUGAACGCUGGCGGCGUGCCUAAUACAUGCAAGUCGAGCGAAUGGAUUAAGAGCUUGCUCUUAUGAAGUUAGCGGCGGACGGGUGAGUAACACGUGGGUAACCUGCCCAUAAGACUGGGAUAACUCCGGGAGACCGGGGCUAAUACCGGAUAACAUUUUGAACCGCAUGGUUCGGAAUUGAAAGGCGGCUUCGGCUGUCACUUAUGGAUGGACCCGCGUCGCAUUAGCUAGUUGGGGGGGUAACGGCUCACCAAGGCAACGAUGCGUAGCCGACCUGAGAGGGUGGUCGGCCACACUGGGACUGAGACACGGCCCAGACUCCUACGGGAGGCAGCAGUAGGGAAUCUUCCGCAAUGGACGAAAGUCUGACGGAGCAACGCCGCGUGAGUGAUGAAGGCUUUCGGGUCGUAAAACUCUGUUGUUAGGGAAGAACAAGUGCUAGUUGAAUAAGCUGGCACCUUGACGGUACCUAACCAGAAAGCCACGGCUAACUACGUGCCAGCCGCCGCCGUAA